rnacentral:rRNA from 1 species
CGCCUCUUGAAAUACAUAAGAGGUCCAGCCUGCCCAGUGACAAUGUUCAACGGCCGCGGUAUCCUAACCGUGCGAAGGUAGCGUAAUCACUUGUCCUUUAAAUGAGGACUAGUAUGAAUGGCAUCACGAGGAUUAUACUGUCUCCUUUCUCCAAUCAGUGAAACUAAUCUUUCCGUGAAGAAGCGGAAAUACAAUUAUAAGACGAGAAGACCCUAUGGAGCUUUAAACGAAACAACAUUUGCUAUAACACAUAUUAAUCUCAGGAAAUCAACCUUUAUUUUUAGCAUUAUAAUUGUUAGUUUUAGGUUGGGGCGACCGCGGAGUAAAAAAUAACCUCCACAAUGAAUUGGGGACUCCCCUAAACAAAAAACCACAACUUUAUGUAUCAACAAAUUGACAUCAAUUGACCCAAUAUUUUGAUCAACGAAACAAGUUACCCUAGGGAUAACAGCGCAAUCCACUUUGAGAGCCCAUAUCGACAAGUGGGUUUACGACCUCGAUGUUGGAUCAGGGUACCCCAGUGGUGCAGCCGCUACUAAAGGUUCGUUUGUUCAACGAUUAAAACCCU